rnacentral:tRNA from 1 species
GCCGUGGUGGUGUAGUGGUUCAACACACCCGUGGUCUUGACACGUGCGCAGUCAUUCGUUGUUACUCAACGCCGUGUCAGUCUAGAUCCGAGGAGGUCGGGGGUUCGAUUCCUUCCCAUGGUG